rnacentral:rRNA from 1 species
GAUGAACGCUGGCGGCGUGCCUAAUACAUGCAAGUCGAGCGAACGGACGAGAAGCUUGCUUCUCUGAUGUUAGCGGCGGACGGGUGAGUAACACGUGGAUAACCUACCUAUAAGACUGGGAUAACUUCGGGAAACCGGAGCUAAUACCGGAUGAUAUUUUGAACCGCAUGGUUAAAAAGUGAAAGACGGUCUUGCUGUCACUUAUAGAUGGAUCCGCGCUGCAUUAGCUAGUUGGUAAGGUAACGGCUUACCAAGGCAACGAUGCAUAGCCGACCUGAGAGGGUGAUCGGCCACACGGGAAGUGAGACACGGUCCAGACUCCUACGGGAGGCAGCAGUAGGGAAUCUUCCGCAAUGGGCGAAAGCCUGACGGAGCAACGCCGCGUGAAUGAUGAAGGGCUUCGGAUCGUAAAACUCUGUUAUUAGGGAAGAACAUAUGUGUAAGUGACUGUGCACAUCUUGACGGUACCUAAUCAGAAAGCCACGGCUAACUACGUG